rnacentral:lncRNA from 1 species
AAACUGGUUCCCACAUAAAACUACUUAAUUAGAUUAAAGGAACUGGGAACACAACAUAAUAUGAUCAAGAUAACAAGACUCGUCAAGCAUGAAGAGCACGAAAAAUAACAAGAAUCAUCAAGCAUGAAGAGCACAAAAAAUAUAUAAAAAAUGAAAAUGCCAUCAAUUUUUCAGGAUACACCACCAACCAGAGACAUCAGCAAUAUCUACAAUUUUAGCUGGGUCAUUGGGUAAACUGUGAUGAAAAGAGCAUAUUGACUUGCUCAAUAACUUAGAGCAUCUUAAUUUCAUUAAAAGUACAGGCCACUGUGUGUACACCUUUUAAAUAAUGUCUGAAAGAUGUAUAACAAACAGAUGCAAUCACCUGAUAUAUGACAUUAGCUGGAAGCUUCUUCUUUAUGACCUCACUACAGAACAAAAAAAAAAAGGAAAUGAAGACAAAAGCAAACAAGAUGAGAUGAAUAGGCAACAAAAGUAAUUUCCUGUUAAUUAUAAACUUUAAUCCAGAGAGAGAGAGAGAGAGAGAGAGAGAGUUGGGGAAUUAUAAGUGUUUUUGCGGUAAUUUCUUUAUAAAAGGUAGACCUCCCACGGUAUGUCUGUCAGUGAAAUUACUGCCUACCCUUUUCUUUUGGGAACUUAUACUAGUCUAAAGAAUAUCCAAAUGUUGACCUAUUUUUCAAGUUUAGUAGAUCCAAGAGCAAAGGUUGAGCUAAAACUGUUUUCAAGUUCCCUGGCUGCGAAGCAAAUAUGCUAGAGUCCGGUCUUUGACCUCUGACUGUGAAAUUACUGAUUGAACAUAAGUAAAUUACAGUAAAUAUUCUCAGUCAUGUUAAGGCGGGCUACUUUGUGGAGUCCCUUUGGGAAAUCCCUCUAGUCUCCAGAAGUGCACCAGGCUUUAUGGUGACUUUCAAAUGAAAAUCUAUUAUGACCUUCAUCAAACUAAAAUAUUACUUAUUCUGCAUUAUAAUACCUUUCGUAUCAUUCAUUGAAAGAUAUGCAGUAAAGUAAAUAUCAUUCAUCAAACUAAAAUAUUACUAAAGUUUAUUCCCCAGCUGUGUUGUCGUAAUCAGUCCAACUCACGUAGUCCCAAGAGAAAAUUACAGUUUGUCUAUAUCCUUCUGCUAUAAGGACCACUACUCCCCUUUAAGUAAAGUUGCAACUGUUAGAUGACAUACAUUUCAAGACUUUCCAGCAAGUCACUACACAAACUUUUUUAUGUAUUGAUUAAUUGCCAUGGAAAGUCACUUCAUACGUCACAUAAUGUCCAAAAGCAACUCUAUCUCUCCACCAAACUUCAACGAUUGACUGCUAUCCAGUCAAUAUUAACUUUGCAAUGAACAUUUGCGUCCCACCAAAAAACGAAGCUACGAGAUUCCAGCUCCAAAUUUCAAAGUUAAAAUUAAUUAAUGGAAAAUGAACUUACAAUGCUGACAGCGUCGUCGACGUCAUCAAGACAGUAACGUCCGGCCUCCUCGUUAAACAGCAUUUUAUCACCGGAAUCGCAGCCAUUCCUUCACCUAUUAGAAAUAAUCAAAUAAUUAAACAAUUAUUAUAGCGCGAGAAAAUACUAGUAGUGGUAGAUUUUAAACACAAAAGGAAAAAUUAAGCAAUUAAUAACCUAAAGAGACGGCGUGGAACCAAACUAAAGGUCCGGCGGGCCGAGGAAGCGAGGGGCGGCCGAGACGCUCAGUCCACCGUUUCGGAUGCUCGAGACCUCGGAAUUUGCGCCACCGUAGGUGGAGGUUUAUCAACGGCGAUAGACCGUAGGAAAAAGCUCGGUAGAUUUUGUAAAUUAGUUCACCUUUCCCCCUAGCCAUUUGACGCUACUGAAUCUACAGUACUAACUGUGGAAUGAAGCAGGCCCCGGUGAAUGCCUGAGCCGUGCCGGGUGGGGGGCUUUGGGCUUGACAAAGUUUGAUAGCAUCUGUCUGUACGUGUUUUAAGUGGGCCCUUUCGUAUAGAUAAUUUUACGAGUUCCGUAAAAGAUUGUGUUAUAGGGCUAAUUAUUCAGAAUAUGGUCGAAAAAACAAAUUCGGACAUCUACGGGUCUGAGCCUCUGAUGAGGUUCUGUUGUAAAUCUAUAGGUACCGGAUCAUGUCAGCCCGACACCUAAAAGUCAGUUAAAAAUUUUUUUUGAGCUCUGACAUCGCUUGUCAGCCCGGCUGCAAGAAAAAUUUUUUUUUAAAAAAAUUGUCAGCUGCCAGGCUGACAAGACCUGGUAGCUAACAACUUCGGCAAAAAAAGCUGGCUACCGGCUGCCAGGCUCUCAUCUAAUUUUUUUUUUUAAAAAAAAUUUUGCAAACUCUCCGGCUUUCUAAAUUGAACAAUCCACGGAAUUAAAGUGGAGAUGACAAUAAAACAUAGGUUACGUCUACGGUGGAAAGUUCACUUUUCUGCGCAUUAGAAGCAGAAUAAGGAGGCCAACUCUACUAUGUGGAGACGCACGAAGAAGUAUAUUCGGGCACCGGAGAAAGCGAAUUAUGUAUGGAUAAAAAAUGUUAUAUAUUUUAAAAUCACAAUAAAAGUCCUCUUAAAAAUUUAUUCAUCAUCUAAUGUCCAAUAUUUAUAUUUGAUAAAUUAAAUUAGUUAAUUAAAUAUUCUAUUAUAAUAUAAGUAACUAUAUGUCAUUGACAGGUGCCGAACCUGUGCAAUAAUAAUAAAUAUAACCUAACUACCACCUGAAAUAGUCAAUAGUCAAUUCAAGUACUGGAGCAGGGACUCUAGGUGUGUAAUGGGUUACUUGAUUCACCCUGUUCCCGAAGAGUUUGCUUAGUCCGAUAUACCUGAAUUAAUUAUUUAACUGAACUCACUAACUAGUAGACAGUGGUUAGUAGGGUCGUCUCCUCAGGGACUGGAGAAAAAUUUAUUUCUUUUCAAAUCAAGAUUAAUGGGGGGAUUUUGAGAUUAAAUAUCAAUUAAACAAAUUAAAUGCAGAAAAUUACUAAUUAAAAGAAACAAUUGAAGAAACUCUAGCCAAGGGUGCACUUCAGAAAUGGUUCAUGCACUGAUCAUCGAUUCGCAGAUAAUUCCAACAUUUAUUUAUAGAUUGGUUAUAGUUGUCAUGCACGCGAUAAACAACCAACCCUUCUUUUAUUUCUCGAUAGUUAAGGUACGCCCGUUAGCCAUUUUUCUAAUCCAAAAAUAACCCUAGAUACGACCGUAAGAUUUAAUUUCUAGAUUGCAUUAAUAAUUAGAAAGGUCCAAUCCUAACCAACAAACACGCUACGAGGAUUCGUUUAAAUUAGAUCGUAUGUUCCCAUAACAUAAAUCCAAUUACGCCAGUUGCUACUAAGAUAGAGAUAACGAACAAUUACGGAUUCAAUUACUCCUAUUUAACAAAAUAGCCUAUAUGAAUAAUUAAUUAUUGCGCACUAAUCAAUCAUACACAAGGGUUAUAACAAUUGAAAGUAUGAAACAUACAAAUACCAAUAAAUGAAGGAAAUAAUUAAAAAUAGUUUAAAUCUCACAGUAUUUGCUGAACCAAUUCGUCAGUUGCCCCUUAACUAGAAUUAGGGGUUUAGUUCUCCAUAAUUUGAUGACAAGCCGCGCGUGUGGAGUUUGUGAAAGUUUUUAGAUCAAUUUUUCCCUGCUUCGGUCGAUACCCAGAGGAAGCGCCAGGAAUUUUUUGUUAUUGCUUUCAAUUUCCCUCUAAGGCAUACGUCGGAUAUUGUCUCCCAAUUUCGGUCAAAAUUGAGUAAAGUGAAAAUCCACAGAGUCCACAAUGGUAGCUGCACUUUGCUUUCUUUCUUUCCUCACAAAAGAAACAUACGAGAGAUUGCUUUCAAUUGUUUGAUUCCUACAAUUCACUCCAGAAUAGCAAUGGCUCCAAGUCAACAAAGGAUGGAGAAACAAAUACAGAGUCAAUAAUGGAGGCUUUUUGUCUCUGGCCCCCCCUACAAAGCUACGGCCCCUUUUACAAUUCGAAAGCCAGAACGGCCUAAAACCUAAGCCACGCGAGAAAAAUUGGUUUUUUUCUCCUCUAAUCCCCCUUCAAAGCUGCGGCCCUACUGGCCUCUAAUACUCUCUUUUUUUUUUUCUGUUUUUGGUCAUCCGAAAUUAAGGAGGGAAUUUCCCCCAUUACCGGAAAUUGGUAUUUUAAAAUUAAAACAAGACUCCCUAAAAUAAAAUAAAAAUAAAGUCUAUUACAAUCAAAUUUCUUCAGCUUCUCAAGAGAGCCCCACGUACGACAAUCCCCUGAAUUUCGAUUUUAAGCACUUUCCAGCAUCAAAUCCUGCAAUUGGCACCAAAAUCAUAUCUGAGUAGAAUCCACCCAAUUAAUGAAAAUAUUUAGUCAAAUAAUAGUGUAAUAAUGCCCAAAACAUUCCACUAAAAUGCACCCCAUCAGUCAUUGAGUCGAAUGAAUAAUAUUUUCUUUUCUAGUUGUCUAUUAAGUUUCAAUUGAAAUAAAGAUUUUAUAAUUAUUUAAAUUAUUCAAUAAAAUUAUCAAUUUAAGAUGAACAGCAAUAUAAAUACAUUAAAUUGUAGUAUUGAAAUAUUUAAUUUAAUAUGAAGGAAAGACAAGAAGAAAUGGCAAGAAAUUUUUUAAAAAUUCAUGUGAGUUCUUUAUAUUGGUAAUCACAUUUAUUUGUUAUUAUAAUCAUAAUACCUGAUCACAAUCGAUUGAAACUCAUAUCCUAAUACUAUUUACAACUAAAGUUACUAUAUACUCAAAUUAAAAUUUUCUUUUUUUCACUAAAUUGUCUUUUAUAUAUGAUGUAUGUGUUAUCAUUUGUUGAUAAUUAAUAUAACGAAGAGAUGCUCUUUAGGCUAAUAUGUCUUGACAACGUGGAUUACUUUUAAGGAUUUGAAUGAGAACUAGACCACAUAAGAGACCAAAAAAUACGAAAUCAAACUUUUGACUAAUUCUAACUUGAUUUGACUGUUAUAUAUUAUAAUUUUGUAUUAGUUGUCCUAAAUUUGGCUAAAAUAAAAAAUUUGCGCUAAUAAUUAUUUUGGUCAAAAUAUCACGGAUUAAUUUAACUCAUAGACCAAACGUUAGGGGACCAAAAUUGCACAUGUUCCUUUAUUUUAAUCAUAUUUGAUAUCCCAACCCUUUCUUUUAUAUUUACGCCUCAAUUAUUUCAUCAAAUAUGAAAUUCAAUUUUAAAAAAAUAAAAUCUACCACAAUAUUUGUUUUGACAUGUACAAAAUUUACCAAAUAAUGUUGAAAAUUUCACCCAUUUUCCAAUACAAAAUUUCACCCUUAUUUUUAUUAAAAAAUUAUGCCACUUGACGUACUAAAUCUGACUGUUUUUUGAGUUAAUUAAAUUACGUUUCAAAAUUCGAACAAUAGAACUAGAUGAAAAUAGAUUUGUUAAAUCAAUAAUUACUUCUAUAAGAUGUUAAACUAAACAAAGUCUCCCACCAGCUUUAUUUUGUCCAUUUCUCUGCUACGCACCUGAAACGCAAAUUAGUCACGGGAUGCUCAACAUCUACCUGCCAGCUUUUUUUUUUUUUUUUGUCCAUAAGCCCCGAUUCAACGUUUGGGAUUUUUUUUUUUUUUAAGUUUGACUGGCUGCCGGGCUCUUUUUUUUUUUGUAGAAGUUGUCGACUACCGGGCUUUGUCAGCCCGGCAGCGAACAACUUUUUGUUUAAAAAAAAAAAAUUUCCCGCUACCAGGCUGUGUCAACCCGGCAAUGAUGUCAGAACUCAAAAAAAAUUUGACUGACUUUUGGGUGCAGGGCUGACACGGCCCGGUACCCAUAGAUUUGCAACAAAACCUUAUCAGAGCAGUAGAUGUACGAAUUUUUUUUUCUCGACCAUAUUCUGAGUAAUUAGCCGCGUCAUAGCAGCAAUUUGAUAUACGUGACAUAAAAUGAUAAUCGAAAAAUAUAUUUACAAAAAAUUGAAAAAUAUAUUUACGAAUAAAAGUAAAAAAAUUUUUCAUAAAAAGCGACAAUCCAAACAAAUUGCCUUCCAAAAUUUUCUCUCAAAUUUCUCGCUUUUUUUUUUAUAGCUAGUCACCUCUCAUUGAUUUUACGGUAACAGUUGAUUAGAGUUUACAACUCAUUCAUAAUUAUUUGGAUUAAUUACAAUUUGCCCCAUUGAACUUAACCCAUUAUGACACUUUGUCUCCUAAACUUUAAAUAUGUAUACUUUGCCCACUUUAUUGAUUAGUCAAAGGUUAAUGAUAAAUUAUCCAUCAAAAAAAUAUAACAAAAUGACAUUAAUGCCCUUACAUAAUAGUUCUAAAAUAAUGCUAUACUUUUAAUCGAAAUAUGAAACAUUUUAUUAGAAAAAAUACAAAGUCAUAUGAUUUUAAAAAAAGAUAUAAUCCAAAGAAUUGAAAAUUUGUAUUGUGGAGAAAAAAGAAUUUAAAAAUUCCUAAAACACCUGCACAAGUUUUGCAUCAUUUAUCUUUCUUCCUUUAAAUUAUAAACGGAUUAGUUUUGAUAAUUUUCAUUUACUUUGUAACAAGAUUUUCAUGAGUCAAUAAAUGCUGUAUUUGGCAAUCUUAUAUGACAUUCAUACCUUGAUUUGUAUUAUGUUUGCAUUCUACAUUUGAAAAAAAUUGAAAAUUCUCUAAUACAUUUUUCAAUAUAUUUUUAUUUUUAAUCAUGUUUUUGUCUCAUAUACAUUUAAAAGUGCUGAAAUAAAAAAAAAUAUAAGCAAAUAAUUUUCAUUCCAAAUGCACUAAAUAAUUUUAUUUCGGUUAAAAUAAGUAUUGCUAUCGACAUUGGGAUAAAUACAUUGAGUUGGUCAAAUUUCUUUUUUUGUGAAUUAUCUAAUUCAUUUUAAAGCUAAAAUAUCUAAAUACAUGCAUUUAACAACUACUAGAGAUUUUUUGGCUGUGCCUUGCCCAAUAUAUUGUGUCGAAAAUAUUGAAAAAUUUCCCUGUAUUCUCAUUUCUCUGAACAAUGAUAUGUAAAUUCUUGCCAAGUUGUAUGUAUUGUCCACGCAAAUGCAUAACUCGUAGAACUGAAGCAUUGAAGUAAUUGUUAACUUAAUUGGAUUGCUAAUUAAGCUGUUUAAUGGGCGAGACCACAGUGGUAAAGUUCACUAAAAAUUUUAUGAGGAAGACAUUAAUUUUUGCUCUUAUAUUUUAGACAUCAAUCAAUUACUUCUCAUAUUGGCUGCAAGCCUGCAAGGAAGGACCUUAAGAAGGGAUGUAAAUCUUAUGUCAUUGUGGACCAUAAUGAAGUGCUUGCAUACUUCCAUAUAAACCACGAAGAGUCUAGACAAAGGAGCACAUAUGCAAUAUGAAAAAUAAACAUGAAUGAAGAACUCAAUAAACGUAAAUUCAUUAAGUCACAGUACAAAGUCUUUCUUUCACACAUUUUUACAAUAGUUUGUACAGCUCCAACAAGAAUUGGGAGCGAAAAAAAAAUUCAAAUCUUGGGCUAAUUCAACCAUCUUGGACUUUAAAUUAUCAAAUAUGCAUAAUAAAGAUCUCUAAACACCACCACAACAAAUUCACUGAAUAGUAGAAGAAUAGUUCAUAACUUCACAAACACUUUGAAAUUCCUUCCAGCCCCAAAUGUUUGAUGCCAACACGUCACGUUUAUUCCAGUCCCAAACGCUGCCAUGCGGACAAUGAUUUUCGUAUAGCACUUUGAAAUUCCGUUAGAGAAUCCUAAUAAUGUCAGCAUUGAUAUUAAAAAGGUUCUUUAGUCAUUGCUAGUUUCCUAGGAACUCCAACAGGAAUAAUCACAAGAUGCAUGCGAGUGAGGGUAUCCUCCAAUUGCUCUUUUUUUACAAAACCAUGCAGCUAGAAAUGUAAACCAUAUAUUAUCAGUCUCUGUCAAAUUGAAUAAUGUGGUGCUUCUGGAUGAAAAGCCAAUAAUACAUAAUUGAUAUUAGUAACAAGUAACUUGAGGGUAUUUGUUGGGCAACACUAAAAUACCAGCACCUUGCACACUGGUUUUACAAAACAGUAAUGCUAACUUUAAUAUCAUUUAAUAAUACUCUGCUAGUCAAGUGGCACACAUGAAAUUUUAAGGUAUAUCUCAAUUAGCUAGGACUAUCUACUUGAAAUCAAGAAAAGAAAUUACAUCAAAGAAUCAAUUCAUUCACUCACCACUAAAGGCAAAUCAAACCAUAAUAAAUAGCAUUUUAAGAACCACAAACACAAAUAUUUAAAUUGUAAAAUAUUACCUUCUUUUGUGGGGUUUUGGUAGGUUCUUCCUCAUUCGCAGAAGUUUCUUUUUCAUCUCGGAAGAUGAUUCAUCUGAGCUGCUUAUCUUUGGUUGCACAGGCUGUCAAAGUUAAAUUCAAGCAUUGAACAUAUAAGUGAAAUGUUAAGGUCCCACAAAAGUCAAAUGCCAUUAAUAAUAUAUCUCGCUACCUUGUUUGCUUUUGGCGGUUCCUCAUCAAAUUUUUCAUCUGAACUUUCUGUAAACUAAGAAAAAUGGAGAGAAAAAAAUACUUUUCUUCUAUUUCACUUUGGACUAUACAAUAUACAAAUAUAUAUAUAUACACAAGUGGAUACUAUAAUCAUAUGAUACUAUAAUCAUAUUAUUACCUAAUUAAUAUAUGAUACUAUAAUCAUAUGAUACCUAAUUAAUAUAUGAUACUAUAAUCAAAUCUUUCCUAAUAUUUAUAUUAUCAAAUCUUUCCAUAAUAUCAGAUCACAUAUCUUCAACACUCCCCCUCAAGCUGGUGAAUAUAGAUCUUCCAUUCCCAACUUGGCAACACUUUCAUGAAACAUGUUGCUACACAGUCCCUUUGUCAUCACAUCUGCAAGUUGAAGUCCUGUCGGAACAUAUGGAGUACAAAUCAGUCCACUUUCUAGCUUCUCUUUAAUAAAGUGCCUGUCUAUCUCUAUGUGCUUCGUUCGAUCAUGUUGCACUGGGUUGUGAGCUAUACUUAUAACAGAUUUGUUAUCACAAUAUAGCUUCAUCGGUUUGCUCCAUUGAAUCCUCAAGUCUUCUAGGAUAAUUUUAACCCACAAUAAUUCACAUACCCCUACUGCCAUAGCCCUGAACUCUGCUUCAGCACUUGACCUUGCUACCACACUUUGUUUCUUGCUUCUCCAGGAUAUUAAGUUUCCUCCAAGAAAUGUACAAUAUCCUGAAGUUGAUCGCCUGUCAACUGGAGACCCUGCAAAGUCUGCAUCUGUGUAAACUGCCAGAUCAAUUUCAGGACCCUUUUUGAAUAAAAUUUCCUUCCUUGGAUGUGCCUUUAAGUAAUGAAGCACUCGAUAAACUGCUUGUAGAUGAACUGCUCUAGGAUCAUGCAUAAACUGACUAAUAACACUGACUGAGUAAGCUAUAUCUGGCCUAGUAUGUGCGAGAUAAAUGAGUUUCCCAACAAGUCUUUGGUACAUCUCUUUGUCCACUGCUGUAUCUCCAUGAGCCUCACUUAAUUUGUGAUUCUGCUCAAUGGGAGUUCCAACUGGUUUGCUUGCUGUCAUGCCUGUUUCCUUGAGCAGGUCCAUAACAUACUUCUGUUGAGAAAUAAAAAUUUCCUGCCUUGAUCGAGCCACUUCAAUUCCCAGAAAAUAUUUCAAUUUUCCUAAAUCCUUUAUUUCAAAUUCCUUGGCUAGGUACCACUUCAAAGUUUUCUUCUCUACUUCAUCGUUUCCUGUCACUAUGAUGUCAUCUACGUAUACAAUCAAAACAGUAACUCCCCCCAAGGCUGAAUGCUUGAUGAACAGGGUAUGAUCUCCUUGACUUUGCAUGUAACCAUUAGCUAUCAUUACCUUGGCAAAUCGUCCAAACCAAGCACGUGGGGAUUGUUUCAGCCCAUAUAAUGCCUUUUUUAACCGACAAAUCUUGUUCUUGUCAACCCCACUGAAUCCCGGUGGAAUGCUCAUAUAAAUCUCCUCUUCUAACUCUCCAUGAAGAAAAGCAUUCUUCACAUCGUAUUGCUGUAAUUCCCAAUCAAAAUUAACAGCCAAGGAUAGCAAAAUUCUCACUGUAUUCAUCUUUGCUACUGGAGCAAAUAUUUCCCGAUAAUCUACUCCAUAUGUCUGUGUGUAACCUUUCACGACUAACCUUACCUUGUAGCGUUCUAGGGACCCAUCUGCUUUAAACUUUACUGCAUACACCCAUUUACAGCCCACUACUUUCUUGUUCUUUGGUAAAUCAACUAAUUCCCAGGUCCCAUUCUUCUCUAAUGCAUCCAUUUCUACUUUCAUAGCAAGUCUCCAUUCUUUCUUUGAUAAUGCUUCAGACAAUGAGCUAGGAAUAGAGACUGUAUUUAAGGUGGAAAGGAAGCUUUGAUGGCUCGGGAAAAACUUCUCAAAAGACACAAAGUGAGACAAUGGAUAUAGGGGUCUUUUGGUGCAUUCUCGGGAUUUUUUCCUUACAGCAAUAGGUAGAUGUAGGUCCUGGUCAAGGCUCAGAGGCUCAGGACAAGGUAAUUUAGAGCUGGAAGAAUGGUCGGUCGGUGUUGUAGAAUUCAGAUUUGAUUCACUCAUUGUUACCUCAUUCCCGGAGCUUGGUUUAGAGGAUUGUUCUUGCCUUGUAACCACGAUGGGAUCUCCUUUCCUUGUAUACACUUGGUCAAAUCGGAACCAGUCAUAGAUUUUACGGUCUUCCUUUUUUUCUUCUAUCACAUCAGAUUGAAGAAUUGACUCUUGGAAUUCAGAUUUGGAUGACUCAGAUGUGGUCAACUCUAAGGAGGAAAAUUUUAACUCCUUAUCUUCAAGUGUAUCUAACUCCCCCUGAAGAUAAGGAGUGAUGAAAUAGGGCUUAUUUUCAACAAAUGUAACAUCUGCCGAGACAUAGAGUUUUCUAGUCGGUGGAUGAUAACAUUUGUAACCCUUUUGAGUAGAUGAGUACCCCACGAAGACACACUUAAGAGCACGAGGAUCUAACUUCCCACGGUUAUGACUAUGGACAUGAACAAAGGAAGUACAUCCAAAAACUCGAGGAGUGAGAUUAAAGAAAGAUCGAAUAUCGGGGUAAAAUUUGGAUAGGUUCUCUAGUGGAUUUUGAAACCCCAAGACCUUGGAAGGAAUUCUAUUUAUGACAUAAGCUGAUGUGAGUACAGCUUCUCCCCAAUAUGCUUUUGGCACACUUUGUUCAAACAGUAAGGCUCUAGUGCACUCAAGAAGAUGUCGAUUUUUCCGUUCUGCCACUCCAUUUUGUUGUGGAGUGGCAAUACAGGAUGAUUCAUAUAUGAUUCCUUCUUUUUGGAAAAACUGACUCAAGAUUUGAUUGAAAUAAUCACGAGCAUUAUCUGAAUGAAAGUGUUUUAUCUUGGUGCCAAAUUGAUUUUGAAUCAUUGCAUGAAAAACAGGGAAAAUAUAACUCAAAUCAGACUUAUUUUUGAGUAAAUAGAUCCAAGAGACUCUUGUGCAGUCAUCGAUAAAUGUGACAAACCACUUAGACCCUGAGAUGUUUGGAAUAGUUGAUGGCCCCCAAAUAUCACUAUGGAUUAAAAAGAAAGGAGAAGACGAUCGUUUAUUACUGAUAGGAAAUGGGACACGAGUGUGUUUAGCAUACUCGCAAAUAUCACAAUGAAAAGACUGAACAUCAAAUCCCUUGAACAAGGAAGGAAACAUUAUUUUUAAUGCAGAAAAAGAUACAUGACCUAGACGUCUAUGAUGUAACCAGAUGACAUCUUUAUUGGAGGGUGAAGACAAUGUGGAGAGGGCAGAUUUACUAAAUUCUGGUUGACUUGAUGUAUCCAAGUAAUAGAGUCCAUCAUGCUCCUUAGCUAGUCCAAUCCUCUUCCCCGAGCCCCGGUCCUAAAAGUCACAAUAGGAUUCAUCAAAUAUAACAGAGCCAGCUAGACCCUUGGAAAGUUUUUUUACAGAAACCAAAUUUGUAGAUAAUCGAGGAACAUGAAAAAUAUUUUUAAGAAUCAAAUUUGGAGUAACUUAGACAUCUCCGAUACCUGCCACAGUGGUUGUAGUACCAUCUGCAACAACAAUCUUUCUAUUGCUAGGACAGGGAUAAUAGGUUUUGAAUUUAUUUGAAAUAUGAGUCAUAUGGUCCGUAGCACCAGAGUCAAGAAUCCAGACAUUCCUAAGCUCAUUGCCUAAAACACUAAAUGCAAAAGAGACUAGAGCCUUACCUGAAAGUGUCAAUGAACACAUACCCGGAUUCCUUGAUUGAGAAUUGUUAGUUGCUGGUUUGUCAACUGUCUCUAACAUACUUUUAAGCUUCUCAAUUUCCUCCAUACUAAACCCUCCAAUCACUUGAGUUGGAUCUUGAACCGACAUAUGAGCCUGCCUUUAUUGGCCACCUUUUUGUCCCCAUUCACGAGUGGGUGGUUUCCCAUGUAGUUUCCAGCAUUGAUCUAUGGUGUGUCGUGGUUUCUUGCAGUAUGUGCACCACAACUCCUCGCGAUUCUUUUGCCCACUUGUUUGAUUGGUCUUGUCCGCAGCAAUCUUGUUCAGUACCACCCGCUGAGAUUUGGAACUUAAAAUGGCUGAAUUUUCUAUUGAAGGUAACUCUAACAUAAUACCCCUGCGACUUUCUUCUCCACGUACUUGGGAUAUUGCUUCUGUUAAAGAAGGAAACUCUGGCCUGCCCAGAAUUUGAAUUCGUACAAGAUCGAAUUCAGAGUUUAGGCCAGCCAAAAAAUCAUAAACUCGAUCCCUUUCUAUGAACUUCUUGAUAAACACUGCACAUUUGCUACAGUUCAAAUCAAGUGCCCUGUAAUAAUCCAGUUCCUGCCACUGAUUUUGCAGAAAAUUGGCAUACUCCGUCACUGUUUUUGUCCCUUGUUUUGCUCCAGUUGUCUCUGUCUUGAUGUCAUAGAUAAGAGCUGCAUCAUUAACCUUAGAAUAUGUCUGAUGAAGGACAUCCCAAAUUGCCUUUGCUGUAGGAAGAAACAUACAUGUAUCGCUGAUUUCAUGAAUCAUGGAAUUCCAUAACCAAGACAUGAUCAUUGAAUCCUCUUGUUCCCAUGCUUCAAACCCCGCCGUUUCACUAUCCGGUGCUAUUUCCAAUAGAUGACUCAAUUUUCCUUUUCCUUUCAGGAAUGUUCGAACCAAUUGAGACCACUUCAAAUAAUUUUUUCCAUUUAGUCUAUAUGCUGCCUGGAUGUUUUGAAGCUCUGUUGUGUUCCGUGUACUUUGUUCUUCUUCCAUAGUUGAAGACAAUUGCCGCGUUGAGGAUGUAGCAUCCGCCAUGAUUGAAUAGGACGGGGGAAAAAAAUGUAUAGUAACAGGAACAGCAGUGAAGGCUGGAGAGAAUAAGAAAGGAACCAGCAAUUAAGGCUGGAAUUGACAAGAAGCAAAGGUGGUAUUUUUCCCAGAACCCUAGAUGAGCUCUGAUACCAUGUAAACUAAGAAAAAUGGAGAGAAAAAAUACUUUUCUUCUAUUUCACUUUGGACUAUACAAUAUACAAAUAUAUAUAUACACAAGUGGAUACUAUAAUCAUAUGAUACUAUAAUCAUACUAUUACCUAAUUAAUAUAUGAUACUAUAAUCAUAUGAUACCUAAUUAAUAUAUGAUACUAUAAUCAAAUCUUUCCUAAUAUUUAUAUUAUCAAAUCUUUCCAUAAUAUCAGAUCACAUAUCUUCAACACUUUCCUCUUCACUACUACUUACUAUGUUCCCUGCCUUUAGCACUGGAUUUCAGAACACCAGAGGGCUAGAGAACCCCACAAAGAAAUAAUUACAAAAGCCAACUGAUAUGAUAAAAGGCAACAAAAAUGCAUACUUGAAAAUUACAUACGACAACUUUACUAUUCUUUUUUUGAGGCUCCUCAUCUUCACUUUCCUCAUCAGAAGUGUCUUCCUCACUAUUGUCUUUAUUCAGGUGCACUUGCAAAGCUAAAAUAAAAAAUGCAUAUACCAGUCAAAAAAACAUGUCAUUUUUAACGCUUUAAGCAUACGAAGCUAUUACCUGCUUGUUUUCAGCUGCAAAGGAAGGCCUCUUGGGAGAAACAACUUUAGGAGGUGGUGACUACCAUUUGAUAAAGUAGCAAAACAAGGAAAUAUCAGGAAUUAGAAAACAAAAUGUAGAAAGAACCAGAAUACCUCUCUAAAGAAAUAUAUGUCGUCCAUAUUUCGAACAAAUACCAUGAAUUAUGAAAAAAUUGAAUGACAUACUUGUCCACAGCCAUACGCAAGCUUCACAAUAACUUGAAACUUAAGCUCAGCCAUGUUCUCACAUAGAAGUGUCAAUUUCAAAAGAAAAUCCUGUACAAGGAGAGACAAAAGCUAAACGUACAGUUAUCAAACAAAACAGACAAAAACUCAUAAAACAAUAUCUGACAAACAAUAGAGAAUCUGAUCUGCUUAACGGUUAAUUACUUUUAAUAGCAAGGGAAAGAUUUUUGGCAAUGUUGGGUAAAUUAGGAGGCAACAUACAAGACAUGUUCUGUAAUUUUAUACAAGCUCCCAAAAUUUUUUUUUUGAAGAUAUGAACUAAAAUUGUGUUCACAUGUUACAAGGUUCAUAUAAGCAAAAAUGUUUGAAGAUGCACAUUCAGAGUUACUCUUCAGAAUCAUCAUAAAAAAGCUUUUUUCAGCCUAAGCUUAAGCAAAAGAACACAGUUUCUAGCUAAUGGGAUGGAAAGACAAAAUAAACUGGGGGGAAGAAAUCCAAACAUGCCCUGAAUUCUCUAUUCACUCAUUUUUCUAUAAUACCUAGACAGCAUUGAUGUCUUUGUACCAAAUUAUGUAAGGAAUAAAAGACAACUGCACAAUUGCACACAGCCCCAACAUUGUUGAAUUGAAAAUCUCACCAGCCUGAUGUCUAAGUCCGAAUUUUAAUCAUUUGUUUCAUCAUCUGAAUCAGAAGACUCAACUUUCUUUUGGGAGCACCUGCAGGCUGGGACUUAAUGGCUGCUGCUUUCUUAGUUGCAGGAAGAUCAUCUUCUGAGCUGCUGCUAUCCUCCAAAAUCUGUUCUAUUAUUUCCUGUUGUUAUUAGUAAUGACAGCUAAUGGUUUAGUACUCUUAAAUUUUUCAUUCUGUCGCCCUAGGGUGCAUGAAAAUAUGAAUUUUAUGCAAUCAGCUGGUUGUAACAUGUAACAGGAACCCAACAGACUUUUACUAUUAAAUGGCAAGAACUUACAACCUAUGGACUUAAUACUCACAAGAGAACUUACAACUGAUAAGAAAAAAAUGCAAGGAAAAAAAAUUCAGUUGAUAAGUGAUAGGUGAAACCAAAUGAACUUACAACUGAAAUUUGUGAACGCUAAACUAGAAGCUCUUCUGCACCAAUUCUUUGAAAGUGCAAUUAAACCCCUAAAGAAAUUUGGCAAUCAAAAUGAAAAAUAUACAGAUUAUCCAAUCUCUUGAAUACUUGUAGGGGAAAAUAUUACACACAGAAAAUGAGUAAUUACCUUUAGUAGGAAGCAUUGUAGAGGAAAAUGAGGAAGAACUGUGGAGUUUUUUGUGAGCAGUGUUCUUAAUGUAUACAGAGACACAAACUUUAUUAGUUGUUAGGAAUUUUUCUUUAACAGUCGAUAAUUUGCCAACUGGCCAACAAAAAGGGAUAAUUGCAGAAACCUCCUUGACUUUUAUAGUAAUAGCAUUGAUCUCCCGUAGCAAUUUUGAAAUAGCACUGACCACCCCUAUCAAAAGUUGGAGGCAAUUCAAUAGGCAAAAGUGGGUCAAUUUACUAAAGUUCCCUUGACAUGAUUUAAUUUUACCAAAUGAAUGUGAUGAGUACUUUCAUCAAACCCAACAAAACAUUUGUUAAUAAAAAUUACACUAAAUUAACUAUUUCUACAUAGUUUAACUAAUUAACUAAAUAACUAAUAAUCUAAUUAAUUAAUAACUAAUUAUCUAAUUAACUAUUAACUAAUUAACGAAUUAUCUAAUUGUUAAUAGUUAUUAACUAAUCAAACUAUUUCUGCAUAGUUAAACUAAUUAACUAAUUAACUAUUAAUUAUUAACUAAUUAUCUAAUUAAUUAAUUAACUAAUUAACUAAUUUCUAUUUAUCUAAUUAACUAAUUAUCUAAUUAACUAAAGCUGUUGUCUGUCCGAAACUAACAAACUAUUUGCAUGUUAAACUAAUUAACUGCUUAACUACUUAACUACCUAAUUAUCUAAUUAAUUAAUUAACUAAUUUUUGUUUAUCUAAUUAACUAAAGUUGUUGUCUAUCCGAAACUAACAAACUAUUUGUAUGUUAAACUAAUUAACUGCUUAAUUAAACCUGUUGUCUAUCCGAAACUAACAAACUAUUUGCAUGUUAAACUAAUUAACUGCUUAACUAAUUAUCUAAUUAAUUAACUAAUUUCUGUUUAUCUAAUUAACUAAUUAACUAAAUCUGUUGUCGACCUGAAACAAACUAUUUGCAUGUUAAACUAUAUGCAAUACGCAUUAUCUAUUUAAAAUAUCGGCUCUUUAUGAGUAUUUUACUUUCAAACAUUUAAUUUAUGAUAAAACAUCAAUGUUUGUAAGUAAAAUUCAAAAAGUGUUACAGUAAUAUCAAUAUUCUCACUUUCAAACAUUUAAUUUAUGGCCAUAUGCCCCUCCCUUUUUAUAAGAAUAUUAGUGUAACACUUUUUAAAUUUUACUUACAAACAUUGAUGUUUUUAUCAUAAAUUAAAUGUUUGAAAGUAAAAUACUCAUAAAGAGCCGAUACUUUAAAUAGGUAAUGCGUACUGCAUAUAGUUUAACAUGCAAAUAGUUUGUUAAUUAGUUAAUUAGUUAAGCAGUUAAUUAGUUAAUUAGUUUAACAUGUAAAUAGUUUAUUAGUUUCGGACAGACAACAACUUUAGUUAAUUAGUUAAUUAGAUAAUUAGUUAAUAGUUAAUUAGUUUAACUAUUAACUAAUUAGAUAAUUAGUUAAGUAAUUGUCAAGCAAAUAAUAAUUGUCAAACAAGUAAGGGCAAAAUUGAAAGAAAAUUCUUAUCUCACUUCUACAAAAGCUGUUAAGGAGGUUUCUGCAACGAAUUGUUACUGUUCAGGGGAGGUGAAUGCAAUUUCUAAAUCUAGACGGGAGGUCAGUGCAAAUGUCAGAAAUCUCAGGGGAGGUUUCUGCAAUUAUCCCAAAAGGAAAACAAAAGGACAAAACUAUAUUCCUAGAAAUGGUAUUAGCCAUCAUGAACACAAUAGAUAAUGAUGCAAAAUGGAUGAAUUGUUAGAGAUUUUUCUUCUCACUCUUGAUAAUUUCUCAACUGGCAAACGAAAACAAAGGAAAAGGACAAACCUAUAUUCCUAAUAAUUGGUAGAAAUCAUACCUCAUACUUGAUUUUUGUGGAACAAUCCCACAGUUGGGAUAUGGAUGGGCAGCCAUAAUUGACUCUCUGUGGAACAAUCCCAUGGUUGGGAUAUGGAUUAGCAGCCAUAAUUUGAGGAAAAAGAUCGUCAAAUUGUUGACCAAGUGUUGGAGGAGUUCAAUUGGUACUUUUGUUUGUCAGAACCAGAAAGAAAAUGAAAGAGAGAAAAAGGAACGGAAGUAGAGAGAGAGGAACAAAGGAGAAAAAGUACAGUUGAACAUGAAGACAAAAUGAAAUCUGAAAACAUGCUUCUUCUGCAGGAAAAAGAAAAUGAAGCGAAACCACUGGCAAAGAGAGGAGUAAACAGUUUGCUACUGGCGGAAGAAUUGAAGAAAAGAAAGCUGAAAGGAAAAAUUAAGAAACGGGAAACACAGAGAGACGAAAAAAACAAAAGAUGACAGGCUAAAAUGAAGCAGAAAGGGAGCGCUUUGCCUUGCUGCCACGUCGGUGAACUUCCAUCUUUUUGUUUGACUUUUUGACUUCUUGUCUUUGACUUUCACAACACAGCAAAACUAAUGCCAACUACUGCUUUCUUUGGUCAGGGAAAAGAGGGCAAGAGACGGGAAAGACUGAGAAAUAAAGCAAAAGGCCAUUCGCAAAAAGUCACAAAUAGCCCUCAAUAGUUAGUUACUAUUUUGGGGCUAGUUAUUUUUCUCUGGGUAAGAUAGUAAUUUCAUGUAAAAAGACAAAAAUGACCUCAACAGUGAUAUACUAUUAGGAGAAGUAGUAAACAUUCUCAGGGCAUAAAAGGAAGAAAAAUUUUCUCCCUCCUCUAAUGCCGCCACGUGGCUCAAUGUGGGAGAAGAAGCCUUAGGUUUUUAUAUAUACUAGUGAGACGGCUUGCGCGAUGAGCAGGAGGACUAAUAUUUCCCGUGUUAAGUUGCUUAAUUUUUAGCCGUUAUAUAUUUCUUAUACCGCAGAGAGUUAUAUAAUUAUUAUAAGUCUGACUUGAAUUAUAAAAUAAUAGUGCGGUAAAUUGGUUGGGUGAAUAUAGUGUUAAUAGUUUGUGAAGUAUGGAGGAUAUUUUGUAAUAUAAUGGUUAAUAAAGUACUAUAAUUGAGACAAUGCAGUGUCGACAUUUUCUGUGGUAUGAUUUGUAUAAAUUAUGUGGUCUAUGUGAGGUAAUUAUAAAGAUACCCGUCUAUAUUUAUGUAUAUCUCUAUUACUCACUAAAUUCCAUAAAUAUUGGCCUAUUUCCUUUUUUUUUGCAUAAAUUAAAACCUUUAAUCAAUAUAAUCACAACAAUUAUUUUUUUUCAUAUUUUUGUAAAAUGCCGCUCACUAAUAUUAGAUCAUUAAUCCACAUUAAGAUCCAUGUAUUAUACAUUGUUUUUGAAAUUUACAGUACUUUAAUUUUUUUAAUGUAAGAAACAAUCUAAUUAAUGUUGCAUGUUUGACUAAAAGAAUAAUAAAAAAAUAGCAUACAACAUUGCUUUUCAAUUUAGAGCAAUUUUGAGCCAUUAGGAAAAAUGAAUAUGCUAAAAAUUUUAUAAUAAUUAUAUAUAUACAUUAAAUAUGGAUAUAUAUUUAACAAUAUAAAAGUGAGAGUUGCCCUAUAAACAUUAUUUUUUUGUCGAGCGGUUAUCCUGCAAUUGUUAUUAGAUAUCCAAGCUAUUAGUAAAUAACAAACUAAUUUUUCUUUUUUAUAGAAUGAAAAGAAUAAGAAUAAAAACAAGGGCAUUAAAAAUUUGUAAUAAUUAUAUAGAGUAAAUAUGGAUUUAUAGACUAAUAUAUCUUUAUAAUUGUACGUUUUAAAAAGUAGUAGGAUUAGAAACCAUUUUUAGUCCAAACCCUUAACACCUUAACUGAUUUUGGUUAUUUGUGAUAAUAAUAAUAUUGGACUUGUCUCUCUCUCUCUCUCUCUUUUUCUUUUUCUGUUGUUCAAUUUUUCGGAAUUGUGCAGUCAAAAGCUACUCCUGAACAUGCUAAAUAACCACUGCAUUCAACAAUUUUACAGAACACUAUUUUAUUUCAUUUUUUUGCAAUAUAUGCAUUCUUUUUUUUUUUCAAACAAUUUUAUUUCAUGCCACAGUAAUAAAAUUCAUUUUUUAAAGUCACUAAUGCCAAUAAUAAUUUAUUAAUUAUUUCCUCAAUAAUUGUGUCUUUACAGAACACUUAACAAUUUUAUUUCAUGUUAAGCUAUCAAUAAUUUAUUAAUUAUUUCCUCAAAAUUGUGCAUUUACAGAAUACUUCAAAAGCAAAUAAUUAACCACAAAAUUAACUUUCUACUAAAAAUACAAGACUAACUUUUAAAUUUUGUUUAAAAAGUAAAAAAUAUCACUAAAUUCAACAUUCCAACUUAAAGAGCCUAAAUAAAAAGGUAUAUAAUAACAUUAAAUCACAUAAAUAUAUUGAUUGUAUAGUUAGAUGUAAAGAAUGUAGGCAACAAAGAAUAUAAAAGGCAUCCGAUAUUUAGUAAAAUAAAAGAAUAUAAAUAAGCAUGAAUAAAAGUAAAAAUGGGAAAAAUUUAACAAGCAUCGUGAUUAAGAGGAAUGAAAGUGUGGUAAUUCUCAUCUCUGUAAUAGGUUUCCAAAUGACAUGAACAAAUCAAAAGUCCAAAACAGUAGAUUACUCAAAGUCAAAAUGGCAAUUUUCCAACGAAGAAGAGGUGGGUUUCAAAGAAACAUGUAGAAAUAGAAACAAAAAGUGAGGCAUCCACAAAAGUGAACAAUGAGUCAACAAAAAAUAGGGUCAGAAGACAACAAAAUUACCAAACAAUCAAGCAACUAUAGCAUGCAGCUUGAACGAAGGAAAAAAGGAAUGGCAUAACUGAAAAAUAAGACAAACCUAAGGCUAAACUAAUACUCAAGAAUAGCUAAGAUGGCCUGUCUCUGCGGAUCACAAUAGGCAAAAAUGAUGCAAACAAAGAGGAACAAAGUAUAAAUAAAUUACAAAGAAACCACACAACUAUAACAUGCAUCUUUCGGUCUCCUGAGCAAGGCAGAAACAGGAAAUGGCAUUAGCGAAAAAUGAAGGACUAACUAAGGCUAAUUCUAAUAACAUAAGGAACUGCCAAAGACUGAUGCAAAUGGGGUUGCCGAAAAGCCAACAAGACCAAACAAAUACAAAAGCCAUCAAAGUUGCUGAAAAUUACGUGAUAACCGCUCGACCAAAAUGGCACCGUUCAUUCUCCAACUCCCGCUUUUAUAUAGUUAGAUAGAUGUAAGAUUAAAGAAAAAGGUGUUUAUUAUAUUACAAUUAUUAUGUGUGCUUAAGAAUUAGCCAUGAGAAAAAUAUAACUUCAUCUUAACUUUAUCAAAAAAAUUGACCAUAAGAGGUAAAGUGGAUCAAGUGUUACCUGGUGAUCAACAGGGAUAUGUUUUCGUGGGGUUUGGGUGCGUAGACUAUGAUAUAAUCGGGUAGAAAGGGACGUUAGAUUCAAAAGAUUAAUAAAUAAUCGGGACCUUCCACCUAACUAGUGAUGCCGCGGAUAUUUAGCUAAAUUCCUCGAUGUGUCACUUGUACCAAUACUACUCUUUCUUUUUUUUUUUUUUUUGGGAGUAACUUGUACCAACACUCAAGGAUGCAAAUCAUUUAAUUGUUUUUAAGAAAUGUUCAAAUCACGAAAUUUGGUUACGUAUUUUGGGUUGGGUUUAAUUGCGAAGAUAAGUUAGGCAGACUUCGUCUUGCAUUUUGUCACACGUUUGUAUUGAUGUUAAUGGCGCAAGGUAUUGUUUCAACUUUGAAUUUGUGAAGAAAAAAACUUCACUGAUGAAGAAUAUUCUGUUAUUAAGGCAAAUUGCAAAUGAUUAAAAGGAGGAAAAGUUGAAGUAAAAACUUACUUAAUGAAUGAUGCCAAGGGGGUUUUGGUUUAACGGCUAAAAGUUGAAGUUCCAAAAUUUAGAAAUUCUAGAUUUAAAUCUGGCUUUCUCCCUCAUUACUUUCUAAAUCUCAUUCCUCUUUAAUAAGAAAAAAAAAACUUUUGAAAAAGAAAGAAAUCAAAUAUAGAAUGAAGUACGCUAUUGCACUCUCCAAAAAUUUUUGAUGAAAUGAAAUAGUAUGCUUUCUCUUAAUGCAUCGGGUGAGAUUUGAAUGCACCCGAUGGUGCAGCACAUCGAGGAAUUUAGCUAAAUAUCCGUGGUAUUGGCAUCACUAGUUAGGUCGAAGGUUACGAUUAUUUAUUAAUCUUUCGAAUCUAAUGCCCCUUUUCUACCAGAUUAUAGCCUUGUUUGGAAGGUAAGUUUUUUGCCAAGUUUGUUUGCUAUAAGUUUUUUAAAAAUUUUAGUUACAGUAAUCUAAAAAAAUUUUUAAUUUAUACAUUUUAAAAUAUUCAAAAAUUUACACACUUCAAAAAUUUUUUUAAAAAUUUUAUAAUACACUAUAGUAAAGUUUUAAACAAACACAAAAAAAAAAUUCACUUGCCAAAUAAGGUGCAUAUCAUAGUCUCCGCACCCAAAACCCCACGAAACAUCCCCGUUGAGCGUUGACCUGCGUAUCUCAGAAUGCCUAUUUCACCAGGUCCCACUGGCAACCUUUCAAGAAGUCAUAAAAGGUGUGCCAACAGAUUAAUCUGCUGAAAACAAAUCAAGGUGGAGAGGUAGAAAGGAUACAGAAGUAGGUGGGUCGUAAGAGGCAGUAGAGCUCUUCAACUUCUCUUCCCAGAACGCACAAAGAAUAAAUCAGUCAGUCAACCACGCUACUUUAUUCGACUCAAAUAUAAGUAAUGCUAAAUUAACACGGCAACCAUUCCUCAAACUUUUCAACACGAAAAGAAACAAGGGAUUAUGAAAGGAUCCUUAAGGUCAUGUUAAGCCUAGGUACUUACAUCCAAAGCUACUUAAUUAAUACAAUGCAAAACACGCUAAAGUAGUCAAAAUCAAUGAAUGCAUUAGGUGUUGCUUCUUUAGGCAGUGCUCAUAUUCCUUAACAAUGCAAACAUGAAACAGCAUGAGCAAGAUGCAGAAACUGUAAAACUAGCUUGAAUCAAGCACUGAUGAACAGAUUAAACGUUGAGAACCUCGUGAUACAAACUUUCAAGUAACUCUUAUGAUAUGAAAACGAUCGGCAAAAUGGAUGGCAUUGGCCACUCAGCUCAACAACAACAGAAAUAAUGUCCCCAUCAUGAUGGUGAAGCAACAACAACUGAGAAAGUUCCCAUCCAGGCCCAAACCAAAAUAGAAAUAAAAUGCACACACACACACACACACACACACACACACAUAUAUAUAUAUAUAUAUAUAUAUAUAUAUAAUACAUGUUAUCUUCCUCAGGAGGAAAAUAAUAUCAUGGAGGCAUUGACAAGCCAAGCAAAGACACAUUCUAAAGCACAAAACAAUGGGAUAUUAACUAUAUCAGUUGUUUGUUAGGUUAUCCAUCGUUGAAUUUCACCUUCAACUGACAACCAUUUCCAAAAUCAAUUUGAUCAAGGUUCAGCCCAAAUCCAACUUUUUAAAGCUUAUGGGAAAAAGAAUUAUGCAUGUCCAAAACCAUAUUAGGUAUCCUUGCUCAGUCCAUGCAAGACAGGUGAAAACUUAAUUUCAACCCACAACUUGCUUCAAGCUUCAACGUCCACUUGUAUUGCACUCUAUAAAGUAUUGUAAUAAUUAAAAAUCUCAUCAAGGCCAAAAUGCACUAUGUACAGUAUGCAAUCAAUUCAAAUCCAGUCAAACAAGUAUCUAAUAUAAGAAGAGGUGCUUACACCAUUUUUUGCUGCACCGAUAAUCAGGUUAGGCCAAAGUUCACUUUCAAUUAGGAUGAUUGCAUUUGGCAUCCAAUAACCGAGAAAAGCCUCCACAGCAGCAGGGGCAUCAACUGGAGCAAACUGGUUCCCGCAUAAAACUACUUAAUGAGAUUAAAGGAACUGGCAACACAACAUAAUAUGAUCAAGAUAACAAGACUCGUCAAGCAUGAAGAGCACAAAAAAUAUAUAAAAAAUGAAAAUGCCAUCAAUUUUUCAGGAUACACCACCAACCAGAGACAUCAGCAAUAUCUACAAUUUUAGAUGGGUCAUUAGGUAAACUGUGAUGAAAAAAGCAUAUUGACUUG